UUUCCUUUUGCGUUUUGUGACUUCACUGCGAGUGUGGCAGGCAUGUUCCCUGAUUCUGCCACCGCCAGGAACCACUCACCUCAUCAAGGCACCAACCCGCCAAAGCACUGAAUCUACAAGACCACUCCAGUUGGGCCUCCCGAGUGGUGCAGUGGUCUAUGCACUUGCCUGGAACGUCUUAUUGCGUUGCUAUUGCAAGCGUUGCUGAAAGAACCAUGAAGGGGUGCACCUGGUCUGCAACAUUGUUUAGGUAGGUGGCACGUGUCAAAUUGAUGUCCACAUGAAUGCCCAGACCCAAGAUUGUUUGCUUACCAUCUAAUCUACCCAGACCUUGACAUGUGCCCUUGUUAGGAGAUGAUCAAGGUUAUGUCCUUCACUGGUGAGGGGUCAUAA
ensembl:lncRNA